GGGGAAUAUUGCGCAAUGGGGGGAAACCCUGACGCAGCGACGCCGCGUGAGCGAUGAAGGCCUUCGGGUCGUAAAGCUCUGUCAGGUGGGAAGAACCCUUCGUCGACUAAUAAUUGACGGAGCUGACGGUACC
rnacentral:rRNA from 1 species